rnacentral:lncRNA from 12 species
ACCACAAUCGCCAGUAAAAACCCCAGGCCCCAAGCAAAGACGAGACUCGUGCUCCUUUCCUUUCAGAGUCUCCUGGACGCUCCAUCCAUCUCUAUACAUACAUCUUCAGAAAACUCUGCUUUUGCCUCCUGCUGGCUCACAUCUGAUUCCCAUCCUUCAUCCUUCAAGCCAAGGACCCUCUUGCUGUUCCUGUGCAACCCUUCUGGGUCCUGGGACCCAGCCCGGGCCUGCCUCCAGGAGGAACCGUGAGGGAGGGAUGGAUGAAGGAGGAAGGCACCAGAGGCUGCCUAGUGCCGGCUGGAGGUGUUUCUGGAGCUUGUACGGCUGCCGCCACCCAGCACCGAAAUGGAUCUUGCCUUGUCCCUGCACCCCCACGUUGGUAACGUCCAGUGGGUUGGGACCCCGAUGGGCAGAGCCUGCAUCCCUGCCUGAGCUGCAAGAGAGUCUGAGAAGGUGAGCCUCUGGCAUUUUCUUCCAUUGCAGGGUAAGGCAAGCUUUGUCUCAAAAGGUGAGGGCGUUCCUGAAAUGUAGGCAUUUAGAUGUGGGGCAGCCAAAAAGAAUAACAAAAAGAAUAAUUUCUGCUCAGAUUAACUUCUCAGGAAGUUGGGGAAGCAGAAAACAUGUUUAAUAGCAGUAAACGAAAACGAUUGAUUUGGGUCCAGGUUUGAUAUUUUCUUCCUGCUUUAGAAAAAUCCCAUCCUAACAGAUGCUCAGAUGCUGUUCGUGACCGUCUUUUUCUUUUUUUUUUUUAAUUGGAGUUCAAUUUGCCAACAUAUAACAUAUCACCCAGGGCUCAUCUGGUCAAUUGCCCCCCCCUCAGUGCCCAUCACUUAGUCCCCCAACCCUCCGCCCACCUCCCCUUCCACUACCCCUUGGAAGUUGGUUUCCCAGAGUUAGGAGUCUCUCAUGUUCUGUCUCCCUCACUGAUAUUUUCACUCAUUUUCUCUCCUUUCCACUUUAUUCCCUUUCACUAUUUUUUAUAUUCCCCAAAUAAA